AUGCUUUGGCAGCACAUAUACUAAAAUUGGAACGAUACAGAGAAGAUUAGCAUGGCCCCUGCACAAGGAUGACAUGCAAAUUCGAGAAGCGUUCUGUAUUUUA
rnacentral:snRNA from 1 species